rnacentral:rRNA from 1 species
CGUGAUGCCACCUUCGGGUGGUGGAAAGUGGCGGACGGGUGAGUAACGCGUAGGAACCUACCCAGAGGUACGGAAUAACCCAGGGAAACUUGGGCUAAUACCGUAUAAUGCCUUCGGGCCAAAGAUUUAUCGCCUUUGGAUGGGCCUGCGUCGGAUUAGGUAGUUGGUGGGGUAACGGCCUACCAAGCCUACGAUCCGUAGCUGGUCUGAGAGGAUGAUCAGCCACACUGGGACUGAGACACGGCCCAGACUCCUACGGGAGGCAGCAGUGGGGAAUAUUGGACAAUGGGCGAAAGCCUGAUCCAGCAAUGCCGCGUGAGUGAAGAAGGCCUUAGGGUUGUAAAACUCUUUCACCGGGGAAGAUAAUGACGGUACCCGGAGAAGAAGCCCCGGCUAACUCCGUGCCAGCAGCCGCGGUAAUACGGAGGGGGCUAGCGUUGUUCGGAAUUACUGGGCGUAAAGCGCGCGUAGGCGGCUAUGCAAGUUGGAGGUGAAAGCCCGAAGCUCAACUUCGGAACUGCCUUCAAAACUGCAUGGCUCGAGGCAGGGAGAGGAGAGUGGAAUAUCCAGUGUAGAGGUGAAAUUCGUAGAUAUUGGAUGGAACACCA